ACACUGAAAGCAGGCUCGCCACUCUUAAUGAUAUGGGUAAAUGAAACGGCAACCUUGGACAUGCUCACUGUUGCAGCUACAUGCCCAAUUGUAUGUGCCAGAGCAACAGGGAACAGAGUCUUCCAAAACUCAUAAUCAGUUUUAGGUGCCUCGGCGAUCCUUGUAGCCCAGGAAACUAGCAUGAUGAGAGAUCCACAAGCUAGAGAAAGUGUAGAGGUCAGCCAUGGGUAUGGAAACGCAUUCAACACCUUCUUGUUGUAUAUAUUGAACACCACGUUCAAAGCCCACCAUGUGGCAAAGUAAAUCCCAAUCUUGACCUUCCUCGC
rnacentral:misc_RNA from 1 species